rnacentral:rRNA from 1 species
GACGAACGCUGGCGGCGUGCCUAAUACAUGCAAGUCGAACGCAGUGGGGACGGGUGAGUAACACGUGGGUAACCUCCCAUCAGAGGGGAUAACACUUGGAAACAGGUGCUAAACCGAUACUGAUGGAUGGACCCGCGGUGGCUUAGCUAGUGGGUGAGGUAACGCCUUACAAAGGCCACGAUGCAUAGCCGGCCUGAGAGGAUGAUCGGUCACACUGGAACGGAGACACGGCCCAGACUCCUACGGGAGGCAGCAGUGGGGAAUCUUGGGCAAUGGGCGAAAGUCUGACCGAGCAAUGCCGCGUGUGUGAAGAAGGUUUUCGGAUCGUAAAGCUCUGUUGUUAGGGAAGCGGUAUCUAACCAGUAAGCCACGGCUAACUACGUGCCAGCAGCCGCGGUAAUUC